CGAUUGGGUAGAGGCCGCAAUCGCUUAUGAGUAGCACACGUGAGUUGACAACGAUGACCGUGCGUAAAAGGAAGCAUUGCCGAAGUGGACCGGAGCAGUCAGCGAAGGUCCGCUGGGGCCAUUCCGAACAGGGAUGGCACUGUCAUGCGGAAAAAACCGCAUGGAGAGCUACAGAUCGU
rnacentral:ncRNA from 2 species